rnacentral:rRNA from 1 species
AUUACUGGGCGUAAAGCGAGUGUAGGUGGCUCAUUAAGUCACAUGUGAAAUCCCCGGGCUUAACCUGGGAACUGCAUGUGAUACUGGUGGUGCUAGAAUAUGUGAGAGGGAAGUAGAAUUCCAGGUGUAGCGGUGAAAUGCGUAGAGAUCUGGAGGAAUACCGAUGGCGAAGGCAGCUUCCUGGCAUAAUAUUGACACUGAGAUUCGAAAGCGUGGGUAGCAAACAGGAUUAGAUACCCUGGUAGUCCACGCCGUAAACGAUGUCUACUAGGUGUGGGGGGUCUGACCCCCUCCGUGCCGCAGUUAACACAAUAAGUAUCCCACCUGGGGAGUACGAUCGCAAGGUUGAAACUCAAAGGAAUUGAC